UCAUGGGGGGGGGUGGACGCACGUUUGCUCAGGCCCUUCAACGGCACCUGCCCACAGCCAAAUUUCUUUUGCCUUUGAGGAAGCCUGAACUGAUCAUUGGGGCCCUGGGCUUUAUCUUCUUGGAGGUGGAGAUGGACAGGGCGGUGGAAGAAUUGAAGUUUGCCCUGGUGCUGAAAUUUGUGGCGAAGAGGCCUUCCAUCUAUGUGCUUCGUUUGUAGAUUAUCAAGACUCGGGGAUUUACAAAAGUACCAAUGAUUAGUUUCAUGGAUGGGGUUCACAUGCUGCUGCAUCUGGCCAAUGAGAAAGACUAUCUGCACGCGUGGACAAGGGAAGGUAGGAUGGUUGCAAGCUGUCAAUUUCGCUUGUUCAACUGGUUGGUGGAGUUCGAUGUUAAUAAGGAGCCUUCUAUUGCGCCACAAUGGUUAUUUUUGCUUGGUUUGCUGUUACAUCUCUACCGUAUGGAUUUUCUGCAGAUUCUGGCUUCUCGGUUUGGUCAUUUCCUUGGAACUGACAAUGUGACGUUAUAUCGUACUCAGGCCACUGGGGCGAGAAUUUGUGUGGAAGUUGCCCUCCAAGAUGAACUGCUGGAUGGUUUUCCAUUGCUUGUUGGUCAGAAACAGCUUCGGCAGCAGGUUAAGUACGAGAAGAGGGGCUUUUACUAUAUGAAAUACUUCCGGCAAGGCCAUAUAGCGGUUGUUUGUCGAGCUAGUGAGAAAUCACGGGCUAAAACUAGUAAGAAGGAAGGGAUGCGAGGACUAGGAAAGGAGCGAAUGGAGGAUCAUGUGUGGAAGGAAGUGGGGCGGUAGGAGGCAAUGGGGGCUCCAUCUGAGGCCAUGGAACAGAGGAUUGCUGAAACAAAGGAAGUGGGGAUGGAUGUGAUGGUGAGGAAUGAGCGGAAGGAAAGUGAGGGUGGUGAGCGGGUAGAGGAGGACGUGCAGAUAGAGGAAGGGGAGGUAUCGUCAUCCAAGGAUGUUCCAAUUACUUUAGGGAGGGUGGGGAAUGGUGAAUCUAGUGAAGUGAUGGUGGAACCUAGCAAUUAGAUGAUGGCUCUUGAUGUGGUUUCCAAAGCCCCAGCUAUACCAGUGCAUCACGGUUCAGAGAAUUUAGUUUCCUUUAAUAUCGAGGCCAUGCAACACCGUGUGGACCAAAGUGAUCGGGUUAGAGACAAUGCAAGCGAGGAGGAGGACUGUGAGGAGGUAUGGUGUGAUGAAGAGAUCAGAUGCCCACGUGAGGAGUCUUUGUUGUGUGUAAAGGAGACUGGGGAAGACUGCUUGAAUCAACCCAUAGAAGGGCCACGGGUCUGUAGUCAGGAGAUGGGCACGAUGGGUUAUUCAUCUGAGAGGGAGGUCAGUGAAAUAUCUUUGUUACGGGGUAAAGAAAGAAUGUAUGACUCGGACUCAGAGUAUCGUUUGACAUCAAAAAAUAAGAUUGAGGAAAAAGCAUUAAGGAAGUCUCAACGGGUGCAUACCUGGGCAAAUAAGUUGGAUUUAUGAUUGAUACAAUUCUUUAUUGGAAUAUUAGGGGGUUAGGCAGAUCUAAAGGAAGGCUUAAAAAAUUAACGAGGAAGGUUCACGUGGAUUUGUUUGCGAUUUCAGAGUUGUUCGCUGCUGAGGAUCGGAUGGUAACAUUGGGGCAUUUUUUGGGCUUUCAUCACUUUAUGUCCAAUGGAUGUCAGGGUGGUAAAUUGUGGAUUUUUUGGAAGGAGGUGAAUGCCUUUGAGGUGAUCUCUUUGACGACUCAAAUGGUAACCGGUUGGUUUACUAAAGAUGGCCAGCGAUUAUUGGUGACUUUUGUUUAUGCGAAAUGUUCUUACAUGGAAAGAAGAGAGUACGGAGGAGUUUGGAAGAGAGUCAAGUUUCUGAUGCACCUUGGUUGGUUCUCGGGGAUUUUAAUAUAAUUCGAAUAGACGCAGAAAGAAUUGGAGGAAAUCCAAGGCCUCUUGUAUCUAUGGCAGAUUUUAACGACUGCAUACAUCAUUAUGGACUUUUGGAUUUAUUAGGCACGAGAUAGUGCAUGUCGUGGUGCAAUGGCCACGAAGGGGUGUCGCGCAACUGAGCGAAGCUUGAUAGAGCCCUUAUUAAUACUGCUUUUUUAGAAUUAUUCAGUUCGGCACACUUUAAAUAUCUAAGUCGGAAGUCUUCUGGUCAUUGUCCUAUGGUCAUAUAUGUGAAUCAACCUUUUUCGAGGUAUGGUCCGGCCCCAUUCCGUUUCUAGAACAUGUGGUGCUCGCAUGAUAAUUUUUUGUUGUGUGAAAGACGCUUGGUGUAGGACUGAUUUGGGGUGGGGUCUUUCAAAACUGGCCAUUCGACUAAAACGCACCAAGAUUGCUUUACGUGUGUGGAAUAUAAAUGUAUUUAGGAGGGUGGAUGCACAUAUUCAGGCCCUUGCAGAGUGGUUGGAUAUCCUAGACAAUAAUUUACAAUCAUGCUAUUCAGUGGAAGAAGAAGAUGAUUUUCUGGCUACAAAACUGAGGUGUGGGAAAAGAGAGAAGCAUCUCGCCUGGGGCAACUUACCAAAAAAAAAAUGGUUAGUUGAGGGAGACCAAAACUCCAAGUUCUUUCAUUCAGUUAUCAACUAGAGAAGUAGAAGGGGGCGUAUAGAGAGAAUGGUGUUGUCCGAUGGGAGGAUUCUGAAUAGUGCAGAAUUGGUACAUGAAGGGGCCACAAAUUUCUUCCAGCAGUUUCUUCAGGAGACAUCGAUUAUUGAGCCUUGUGAUCUCUCGCCGUUAAUCACACGACAACUUUCAGAGGUUGAUAAUAACCUCUUGUGUGCAAGACUGAAUGAAGAGGAAGUUAAACGAGCAGUUUUCUCUAUUCUGGAAGACAGCACCCUGGGGUCCAAUGGCUUCGGUUCAGGAUUCUAUAAGGCUUGCUGGGAAAUAAUAAAGGAUGACCUUCUUGAAGCGGCGAAAGAUUUUUUUUAGGGUACUCCUCUUUCCAGGUUCUAUUCUUCCUCGUUUAUAGUUUUAAUUCCGAAGGUGGAUAAUCCUUCGAGCUUUGAUAAAUUCCGGCCAAUCAGUUUGUGCUCGGUGGCGUAUAACAUAUUUUUGAAGAGUAUUAUUUUCAGACUCAUUGAUAUUUUUGUGAAGUUGGUAGCACAUGAGCAAAGUGCUUUUAUCCCGGGAUGUAGUAUUUUUGAAAAUAUUACGUUGGCACAAGAAAUGGUUCAUUCUUUGCACAACCGAGUAUUGCUGACUUGCUUCAGCUGCAACCGAAGUCACUUGGCUCACUCGUUUGCUUCAUGAUCUUCAUAUUUCUCUCUCGGCUACUCCUACUAUUUUCUGUGAUAAUUGAAGUGCCAUUUCCAUGUUUGCUAACCUAGUCUCUUAUGCUUGCUCCAAGCAUAUUGAGCUCGAUUAUCACUUUGUGCAUGAGAAUGUAACUACCGGACUGCUUUGUGUUAACUUUCAUCCCUCUAAUCUUUAGAUUGCAGAUCUCUUCACCAAAAGUUUCUCUCGGCUUCAAUUUCUUUUCUUCCAAGCUGAGCUUUCUGUCUCAUCUUGCCCCACGGCAAAUCAUACGCAUCAUCCUCAAGUCAAUGCAGUAAGAAUACUCAAGAAGGAAACAAAUAAAUAUCUUUGUAUAUCCCUUUUUUGUUGCUUUAGAAUAUUCUGUCAUUAAGUCUCUUGAUUGUAAUUCUUACAAUUUAUAAUAUAAAUAAAGUCUUCAUCCUACAGCAAACGUAUACUGAGGAGUUCUCACUUCUGUGUCACUAAAUCUUUUGAACAAUAUUAUAUCAGGUAAAAAGCAUGAAAAAAAAUGUUGCAAGACCAUUUGUUUCUUUGGAUCUUGAUCAGGUCGUAGAAGGCUGAGUCGGGAUAAGGGCUGUUCUUGUAGAUCAGUUGCAGUCUUUUUCUCUAUCCUCGUUCAUAUCUGAAAUAUAUAUCUAGCACUAUAUAACAUUCAAUAUUGGAGCUGACGAUUUUAACAUGGACGUGGUAGAUUAAUCACAACUUGGAAGCAUUGACCUUAUUAUGUUAACUCUUUCUUCUGUGUAAGAAAUGCAGGAGGUAGAGAAAAUGGUCCAUCCCAAGGCUAAGGAAAGUACCAACAAAAAAGGUUUAACUCCCCGACAAGUGUUUACGAGGAACCAUGAGAACUUGAUGGAAAAGGGAGAGAAACGGACGAAGGAUACAGCAACUUCAUGCACUGUGGUGGCUGCUUUCGUUGUUACCAUUAUAUUUGCCGCGGCCUUUACCAUUCCAGGUCGUGACGACAAUAAAAACGGCUUGCCAAUUUCCAAAAAAACAGAGCCGGUUGACUUCUUUAUGAUAUGUGAUGGCCUAUCCCUCUGUUUUUCCACAGUUUCAGUCUCGAUGUUUUUGGGAAUCCUCACAUCACGCUAUUCAGAAGAUGAUUUUCUUGAGAAAUUGCCGAGGCAGAUGAUAAUAGGCCUCAUCAGCCUCUUCUGCGCUAUUACGACCAUGCUGGCAGUCUUUUUAAUUGUCAUUUUAAUCGAGCUACAUACGCGAUUAUGCACUGUAUACGCUUUCGGUUGUUUGGCCUUCGCUAUAGCGACCCUCUUCAUUGUGGUGAUUUUUCGCCUUCUUGUAGGCAUGAUCAGGUCAACGUACGGGCGAGGAAUCUUUGAUAGGAAUUGAAGGAUAAUACAACUGACUGAUCCACUGUGCAAUAUGUGGUAUGUAAAAAAAGAUGUUUUAUGUGUGAUGGACUCCCUUGGAUGAUUGGCAUAUCAGCCAGAAUCGAGUGUUUGUUCCUUUUCUGUUGAACCAAUAACUGAUGAAUCUGUAUGAAGUUUAAUUUGUUUA